UGGCGCAUGUCGGUGUUCAAUUAAUGAAUGAAAUGAGUGAGGUGGGAGGGGUCUUAGAUGACACGGUCUCUAGGCCCCUUCUCUGACAAAGCAACUUUCAGAGUGAGCUUGCUGAACUGCAAACCUGAUCCUGUCUGAUCUCUGGGACAGGAAACUGCUUGAUGAUUUCCUUUUGCUUUAGAAUAAAAGCCCUACUUGUGGCUUCCUGGCUGGCAGAGCCCUGAAUCCUCACUGCCUCCAAGGCUUCUUUCUGGCUGUUCAGUCCUUAGGCUCUGUGAUUUAGGACAGUGCCAGGCACACAGGAAAUACGCUGUGAAUAAAUGAAUGAACGAAGAGGCUUUACUUCACCGAUGCCCCAGCUCUCUCUUGACACUAAGCCUUUGCCCUCUGCCUAGAACUCACCCUUCCCUCUUUUCUGCAAGCGGACCCUGUCCAGUGCUCCGUCUCGGCUCCAGCACUGCUUCCUUGCACCCUAAAUCCCUCCAGGAUCUGGUGUGAAGUCCCUCUGUGUGCCGCCCCAUUCCUGGGUCCUGGUGGCCCCUUCCCGUCUCGGUCUCCCACACUACGCAAGGCAAGACCUGCUGGCUUCACGGUCAUAAUCAGAGUCCCUUGCCCCUGGCACGCAGUAGGCUGCAGAGAAUGCUAGGAAAGAGACAGAAAGGUGUUUCAUGCCAUGUGGAACGCAGGGCAGGGGCAGAGCGGAAGUUCAGGGGGUCCAGCCCCCAGCUGCACCCUUGGGUCCCUCCCUGCUGUCUCUGGCAGGUGAGAAAGAGGACUGAUGCCCGGGCAUCUUCACGCAGGUCCCUCAAGAUGCAAGAAGAGCGCCUGAAGGGCUCGCUGGUGGAGGUGGCCCCCGAGAAGCCUCCAAAGAGAGCUGGCUGCUGCUUCUGAGGUGCUAGCCUGUCUGGGGUGGGCUGGCCACCUCCCUGGGUUUCCUGUGCCUUGGCUCCUGCCCCACCCGCCUGGACACAGCAGUGACAGAGACGACUGGCUCAGAAGUUCUGGAAAACCCUCCUUGGGUCAGGACUCAGACCCCAGGGCAGAGGCUGCACUAAUGCUGGCCUUUACACUCCCAGAGAGGGACUUUUCUGAGUAAUAAGGUUGGUGGGGUGGGGAUGGGGGGGCCAGUUAAAACUCUUUAAAGAAAGGAAAAGUCCAGAAAAAGGGCUUAAGGAAAAUACACCACAGUAUUGGCAAAACAUCUCUAAGUGAUAAAAUUAUAGGAUAAAGGUGUGGCAGUGUUUUCCUUUUUACAUCUAUUUGUAUUUACAGAUCUUCUACGAUGACUGGGUAUUCCUUCUGUAGUCA
rnacentral:lncRNA from 1 species